rnacentral:tRNA from 1 species
GCGGUCGUGGCGGAACUGGUAGACGCGCAGCGUUGAGGUCGCUGUGAAGCAAUUCGUGGAAGUUCGAGUCUUCUCGACCGCACCA